rnacentral:rRNA from 1 species
UACGGGGGGGGCAAGCGUUGUUCGGAAUUACUGGGCGUAAAGGGCUCGUAGGCGGCAUCGCAAGUCCCAUGUGAAAGCCCACGGCUUAACCGUGGAAGUGCAUGGGAAACUGCAGUGCUUGAGUACUUAAGAGGAUCGCGGAAUUCCCGGUGUAGAGGUGAAAUUCGUAGAUAUCGGGAGGAACACCAGUGGCGAAGGCGGCGAUCUGGGAAGAUACUGACGCUGAGGUGCGAAAGCGUGGGGAGCAAACAGG